UACCGGCACCCCGAGUGGUCGGGACGAUUAUUGGGCCUAAAGCAUCCGUAGCCGGUUUUACAAGUCCUCCGUUAAAUCCAACUGCUUAACAGGUGGGCCGCGGAGGAUACUAUAAGACUAGGAGGCAGGAGAGGCAAGCGGUACUCAGUGGGUAGGGGUAAAAUCCGUUGAUCCAUUGAAGACCACCAGUGGCGAAGGCGGCUUGCCAGAAUGCGCUCGACGGUGAGGGAUGAAAGCUGGGGGAGCAAACCGG
rnacentral:rRNA from 1 species